UACGUAGGGUGCAAGCGUUAUCCGGAAUUAUUGGGCGUAAAGAGCUCGUAGGCGGUUUGUCGCGUCUGCUGUGAAAACCCGAGGCUCAACCUCGGGCCUGCAGUGGGUACGGGCAGACUAGAGUGCGGUAGGGGAGAUUGGAAUUCCUGGUGUAGCGGUGGAAUGCGCAGAUAUCAGGAGGAACACCGAUGGCGAAGGCGGCAUUCUGGACCGAAACUGACGCUGAGGCGCGAAAGCGUGGGGAGCAAACAGG
rnacentral:rRNA from 1 species